rnacentral:rRNA from 1 species
AGAGUUUGAUCAUGGCUCAGAGCGAACGUUAGCGGCGGGCUUAACACAUGCAAGUCGAGCGAGAAAGGGACUUCGGUCCUGAGUAAAGCGGCGGACGGGUGAAUAUCGCGUAGGUAACCUGCCCUUCAGCGGGGGAUAACGGUCCGAAAGGACCGCUAAUACCGCGUACGUAUCUCGGGGCUCCGGCCCUGGGGUGGAAAGCUAGGUAGCAAUACCCGGCACUGGAGGAGGGGCCUGCGUCGCAUCAGCUAGUUGGUGGGGUAAUGGCCUACCAAGGCGAAGACGCGUAGCUGGUCUGAGAGGAUGAUCAGCCACACUGGGACUGAGACACGGCCCAGACUCCUACGGGAGGCAGCAGUGGGGAAUAUUGGACAAUGGGCGCAAGCCUGAUCCAGCCACGCCGCGUGGGUGAUGAAGGCCUUCGGGUCGUAAAGCUCUGUGGGGAGGGACGAACCGCCGAGGAUUAAUACCCUUCGGCAUGACGGUACCUCCUUAGCAAGCACCGGCUAACUUCGUGCCAGCAGCCGCGGUAAUAC